rnacentral:tRNA from 1 species
UGACCAUUAGCUCAGCUGGCAGAGCAGCGGACUGUUAAUCCGCCCAUCCCUGGUUCGAGUCCAGGAUGGUCAGCCA